rnacentral:rRNA from 1 species
GACGAACGCUGGCGGCGUGCUUAACACAUGCAAGUCGAGCGGUAAGGCCCUUUCGGGGGUACGACGAGCGGCGGACGGGUGAGUAACACGUGGGUGACCUGCCCUCAGCUCUGGGAUAAGCCUGGGAAACCGGGUCUAAUACUGGAUAUGACUCCAUGACGCAUGUUGUGGGGUGGAAAGCCUUGUGCGGCUGAGGAUGGGCCCGCGGCCUAUCAGCUUUGUUGGUGGGGUGAGGCCUACCAAGGCGACGACGGGUAGCCGGCCUGAGAGGGCGACCGGCCACACUGGGACUGAGACACGGCCCAGACUCCUACGGGAGGCAGCAGUGGGGAAUCUUGCGCAAUGGGCGAAAGCCUGACGCAGCGACGCCGCGUGAGGGAUGACGGCCU